GGCGCUGUAGUGUAGUGGUUAUCACUCGGGGUUUUGAGAUUUAAUUUCCCGUAACCCAGGUUCGAACCCUGGCAGUGCCU
rfam:Termitomyces sp. J132 unplaced genomic scaffold scaffold495, whole genome shotgun sequence.